UACGGAGGGGGCAAGCGUUGUUCGGAGUUACUGGGCGUAAAGGGUGCGUAGGCGGCUUUUUAAGUUUGGUGUGAAAUCUCCCGGCUCAACUGGGAGGGUGCGCCGAAUACUGAGAGGCUAGAGUGCGGGAGAGGAAAGUGGAAUUCCUGGUGUAGCGGUGAAAUGCGUAGAUAUCGGGAGGAACACCAGUGGCGAAGGCGACUUCCUGGCCUGUUCUUGACGCUGAGGCGCGAAAGCUAGGGGAGCAAACGGG
rnacentral:rRNA from 1 species